GCGGUAAAAAGUUUUUUCUCCUGACCGGGCCCGCAAUGCAGGAAUCUGCCUGAUAGUGCGGGAUAACGUUCGGAAACGGACGCUGAUAACGUGUCGUCCUAGGGGAGAAAGCAGGGGACCUUGGGGCAUUGCGCUCUCAGAUGAGCCUAGGUCGCAUUAGCUAGUUGGUGAGGUAAUGGCUGACCAAGGCUCCGAUCCGUAACUGGUCUGAGAGGAUGAUCAGUCCACUGGAACUGAGACACGGUCCAGACUCCUACGGGAGGCAGCAGUGGGGAUAUUGGACAAUGGGCGAAAGCCUGAUCCAGCCAUGCCGCGUGUGUGAAGAAGGUCUUCGGAUUGUAAAGCACUUUAAGUUGGGAGGAAGGGCAUUAACCUAAUACGUUAGUGUUUUGACGUUACCGACACGAAUAAGCACCGGCUAACUCUGUGCCAGCAGCCGCGGUAAUACAGAGGGUGCAAGCGUUAAUCGGUAAUUACUGGGCGUAAAGCGCGCGUAGGUGGUUUGUUAAGUUGAAUGUGAAAUCCCCGGGCUCAACCUGGGAACUGCAUCCCAAACUGGGAAGCUAGAGUAUGGUAGAGGGUAGUGGAAUUUCCUGUGUAGCGGUGAAAUGCGUAGAUAUACGAAGGAACACCAGUGGCGAAGCGACUACCUGGACUGAUACUGACACUGAUGUGCGAAAGCGUGGGGAGCAAACACGAUUAGAUACCCUGGUAGUCCACGCCUCAAACGAUGUCAACUAGCCGUUGCGAGUCUUUAGAACUCUUACUGGCGCAGCUA
rnacentral:rRNA from 1 species